rnacentral:rRNA from 1 species
CCUACGGGAGGCAGCAGUGAGGAAUAUUGGUCAAUGGGCGCGAGCCUGAACCAGCCAAGUAGCGUGAAGGAUGACUGCCCUACGGGUUGUAAACUUCUUUUAUAAAGGAAUAAAGUGAGGCACGUGUGCCUUUUUGUAUGUACUUUAUGAAUAAGGAUCGGCUAACUCCGUGCCAGCAGCCGCGGUAAUACGGUGGAUCCGAGCGUUAUCCGGAUGUAUUGGGUUUAAAGGGAGCGUAGAUGGGUUGUUAAGUCAGUUGUGAAAGUUUGCGGCUCAACCGUGAAAUUGCAAUUGAUACUGGCAGCCUUGAGUACAGUAGAGGGAGGCGGAAUUCGAGGUGUAGCGGUGAAAUGCUUAGAUAUCACGAAGAACUCCGAUUGCGAAGGCAGCUUACUAAACUGCCACUGACAUUGAUGCUCGAAAGUGUGGGUAUCAAACAGGAUUAGAUACCCGUGUAGUC